rnacentral:lncRNA from 1 species
CAACACAUAUGUUUUAUGAAAAUGGAUGAAGAAGCGAGUGUGAUUCUGGGCUCCAAUCAGAAAGAUGAGUCAAAAUUAAUUUUAAAAAUUGAAGCUAUAACCUAGAUGUUGCUACAUCUGCAUACUUUGAGCUGAAUGGAUAAGCAUGUGUUUGAAUUUAACUAUUUCAAGUUCACCCUGUCCUUGGCAACCGCUUAGCUCUCUCAAGCCUUUGGUAGGUCAAGUUGUGUUUUUCAAACUAGCCUUUACUGCGAUGCCCUUUUUAAUUAAGAAAUAUAAUAGUACCAUAUAUCUGAAGUGAAAAAUGACGCAAGGACAAAGUGAAAAACAAAGGCACAAAAAAGCGUGAUGGCAUGUGGUUUAGACGACAAAGGUCAGUGAGGCUAGAUAGUUGAAGUAGAUCACAAAGGACUUGGUACACCAUAAAACAGGGCUUGGGCUUGUUCUGGAGGCAAU